rnacentral:tRNA from 1 species
GUGGGUGUAGCUCAGCUGGUUAGAGCGUCUCCCUGUGGAGGAGAAGGUCGCGGGUUCGAGUCUCGUCACCCACC